rnacentral:lncRNA from 1 species
UUUCUCACAUAUUUUAUAAGAUGAAUACCAUAUAUAUUGGACAUUACCAAUCCCAGAUAAUUAUCGUGUAUUUUUUUUUUCAUUUUUUUCAUAAUUAAUGUUUUCGACGCCAUCAGUUUCUGACCAUGUUCAUCUCCUCCCUCCCGUCCGGUGGCCCUGCUCAAACCGAGAGGCUUACAGAGUUUAGAGAGAGAGAGAGGGAACACGAGCUUCGAUGGGGUCAACUCCUCAUCUCCGUCCUCUCUCAACCCCUUCGUCUUCCGCCUCCACCGCUACUUCCGCCGGUCGCUGCAUCGCCGAUGCCUCCCCUCUCGGCUCAUCGCCCACAGGCUCCGCUGCAUAUAUGCCGACCGCAUCCGCUCCCCGAGCCUCGCUCAGCCGUCUCCGU